GUUGUGGAAUGCACUUUGUCACAGCAGUUUGCCAACCCUGAAGGAACUCGGGGCGAUUCUUCUCUUUCGCUUCAGUCAGCAAAUACUUUCGAAUGUUCUCUACACAAAACUUAAAAUGAAUGCCUUGGGAAUCAUAAAAUGAAAUGAUUCGGUUGGGGAUGUUCACAGUAAUGAGGGACCAGUGGACUUCCAGGUGAAUAGGGAUCAACAAGAGAGUCUUUCUGAACAAGUCCACCUUUUUAGUCCACCGCUUUACCCCAUUAUAUCCUUUGGUUACAAGCUGUCUAUGAAAAAAGCUGUUAAAGAAAUGAACCUUUUCAGGGACCGCAUCCAUGAUGAGUUCACCAUACAUGUUAAUUAUCUGGUCAUUCAGCCAGUUCUGGCCUUCCAGUGUAGCUAAAUCAUCCAUAUCUAGCAUGUGCUUAUUAUAGAAGACCCGGAAAUUGCAAGUGGAGGUUUUUGGAUGUUUUUCCCGAUACUUCAUGAUUUCCCUGGUGAUAAAAGGUUUUCUAUGGGAGAAAUCUUCAUUAAAGACUUCUUUUAAUCUUCCCAUGACAUCUUUUUCACAGAGUGGAACUAAACUGCCAUACUUCUUCAUAACUUCAUCUAGGAAUCCACAAAGCCACGCUGCCAACUGCUCAUCAG
rnacentral:lncRNA from 1 species